GCGGAUGUAGCCAAGUGGCUCAAGGCAGUG
rnacentral:tRNA from 1 species